GGUGAGAUGGCCGAGCGGUCCAAGGCGUGUGACUCAAGCGAUUAUGUAGUCUCUACAUAAGGAGCUUGCCCUAUUUGGGUUUCUCAUCAUCGUAUGAUGGCAGGGGUUCGAAUCCCCUUCUCAUCA
rnacentral:tRNA from 1 species